GCAUCGAGCUCAUCGCCUCUGAGAACUUCACCUCCUUCGCCGUCAUGGAGGCGCUCGGCUCCGCGCUCACCAACAAGUACUCCGAGGGCAUGCCCGGCGCCCGCUACUACGGCGGCAACGACGUCAUCGACGAGAUCGAGAACCUCUGCCGCUCCCGCGCGCUCGCCGCCUUCCGCCUCGACCCGGCCUCCUGGGGCGUCAACGUGCAGCCCUACUCGGGCUCCCCCGCCAACUUCGCCGCCUACACUGCCCUGCUCAACCCGCACGACCGGAUCAUGGGCCUCGACCUCCCCUCCGGCGGACACCUCACCCACGGGUACUACACCUCCGGCGGGAAGAAGAUCUCCGCCACCUCGAUCUACUUCGAGAGUCUGCCGUACAAGGUGAGCGCCACCACCGGCUACAUCGACUACGAGAAGCUCGAGGAGAAGGCCCUCGACUUCCGCCCCAAGCU
rnacentral:lncRNA from 1 species